rnacentral:rRNA from 1 species
UUACGGUCAAAUCAUGCUGAAACACCGGUUCUCGUUCGAUCACCGAAGUUAAGCAUCGUAGAGCCAGGUCAGUACUUAGAUGGGGGGACUGCUUGGGAACACCUGGUACUGUAAGC